rnacentral:rRNA from 1 species
GAUGAACGCUGGCGGCGUGCCUAAUACAUGCAAGUCGAGCGAACGGGCGAGAAGUUUGCCUCCCGGAUGUUUUCGGCAGACGGGUGUGUAACGCAUGGAUCACCUACCUAUGAGACUGAGAACACUUCGGAAAACCAUAUCUUAUACCAUAAAAUCAUUUAAACCGUAUUGAUCAAAAGUAAAAGACAGCCUUUCUGUUACUUAUAGAUGCAUCCGCGCGUCAUUUGCUAGUUGGUAUGGUAGCGGAUUACCACGGCAACGAUUAAUAGCCGACCGGAGAGGUUGAUCGGCAACCCUGGAACUGAGCAACGGCCCGGACUCCUACGGGGGGAAGCGGAAGGGAAUCUUGCGCAAUGGGCGAAAGCCUGACGGAGAAAGGCCGGGUGAGUGAUGAAGGUCUUCGGAUCGUAAAACUUGGUGAUUAGGGAAGACGAUAUGUGUAAGUAAAUGUGCACAUCUUGACGGUACCUAACCAGAAAGCCACGGCUAACUACGUG